rnacentral:rRNA from 1 species
GCGAAAACUUUACAAUGCUGGCAACAGCGAUAAGGGGACCUCGAGUGCCAGGUUACAAAUCUGGCUGUCGUAAUGCCUAAAAAGCAUUGCAUAGCAAGGGCCGGGCAAGACCGGUGCCAGCCGCCGCGGUAACACCGGCGGCUCGAGUGGUAACCGUUAUUAUUGGGUCUAAAGGGUCUGUAGCCGGCCGGAUAAGUCUCUUGGGAAAUCUGGCAGCUUAACUGUCGGGCUUUCAGGAGAUACUGUCUGGCUCGAGGCCGGGAGAGGUGAGAGGUACUUCAGGGGUAGGGGUGAAAUCUUGUAAUCCUUGAAGGACCACCAGUGGCGAAGGCGUCUCACCAGAACGGACCUGACGGCAAGGGACGAAAGCUAGGGGCACGAACC